rnacentral:misc_RNA from 1 species
GGGGAACCAGAAAAGGGGAGAAAUCAGAGAGGAGGGGGGAUUUUGGAAAGCAGAACAGAGGAAGGGCGACUAGUGCUUGCAGAGAGAAAAAAUUGAAAAUUUUGAAGCUGGGAGCUGCGAGUCUGUUUUCUACAAACUCUUUUAGCCAUUAUUGUUAAAAAGGUUUUUCAUUUUUGGAUUUCUUCUCUACAUUUGUCAACCCAAUACGUAAUCCAUUAUUUUAGGUUUAGCCAUUUGAUAACUGUUGGAAAGUUCUAAAUUUUUUUUCUCAUUCAUCUCUAUUUGUUAUGUUUCCCUUUCAUUCUAGAAAAAUAUAUCGUGGAGACUAAUAUGUGGUCUUGUCUUAUGAGAUUUUGAUAUUAAAAAUGCAGAGGGAUUUGAAUCUUCUUUGAAGGUUGAUUAUGUGUUGUCGUUUUAUUUACUUAUGUAUGGCUUUUAGAAAUAGUUGUGCGUUACUCUUAUGCAAUCAUAUACCAUUAGGAGUUCGGGUCAGUAUAGAGUCUUCCUGAUGAAAUACGAGAUUUGAUGAAGGUCAGUAUCAUUUCACUGUUAUGUGUUCUUAACUCUCCGUUUGGGAAGAGCGAGAGUAAAGUAAGGUUAUCAAGUAAAGUUUUUUAAAGCAAGAUUUUUUAUGGUUUUCAAAUAUUCAUAAUUUUUUUAGUGUUUGAGAGAAAAGAAAGGAUUUUUUUAAGUAUUUGAAUGUUUUAAAGAGAAAUCCAUUAAUUUGGUUUAGUGGGUUGAAAAAUGAAGGUUUUUGGAGGUUUUUAAAAACUUUCAAAAAUCAUAUUUUAAAAAACCUUCUAUCCUCUCAAACAAAACUUUAAAGUUUUUAAACCUCUAAAAACCUUCAAUUACCUUAAAAAACCCCUUCCCAAAUAAAGGGUGAUCGUCAAGUUUUCUUAAAUCAAGAUAUUCAUUUCUUCUACAGUUGCUAAAAUUUGUCAAGCAUCAACAAACUUCAGUGGGACUUUUUCCUCGUACUGUUUGGGUUCAGUUAUAGAAGGAUAUAUGUACAACUGUUCCAUUUUCAGUAAUUCUAGUCAUUUAUUAUGCCUUUUUACUGGACUGAUAUUGUAGUCUCCUAUAAAUUGCACAGCCGAAUAUUCAAUUGCAUACAACAUAGCUUGUCUGAUUACAGUCUUAUAGAAACACUCAUUAUUUCUUGGACUUUCACAAUGUUAAACUGAACAGAUUGUUCUGCAUUCUUUGGUUCUAUUUCAUUGGCUACUAUACAUCUUAGUUUGACCCAAUCUCAUUAAAAAAAUGAUAGAGGAAAGAAUUGCUUGUGAAGACGGGUUCAAAAAAUGGCAAGGGAAAGCUUUUGACUGCUAGAACCACUAAAAAACUAUCACCACUGGAGGUGAAAAAAACUGUGCAGUUUAGUCAGCGUGUUGCAGGUACUAAUAAUUCGGCAGGAGCUGAUAGCAAGCAGAUAGUUCCUGAAAGGAAGACAGCAGCAAUAAAUGUUCCAAAUAGUUUCCUUUUGCAGCCUAGAGAGGUUCAAUCAGCGCUGCACCACAGAUAUAAUUCUCAUUCUGUAUUAUCUCUCAGCAGAGGAAAUGAAGUGCCCAAAUCAUCUUAUAGCUGUUUCAAGGACAUGCCUCCAAUAUUUGAUGACAUCACACCUAUGCCACCAAGACUGAAUAGGCAACAGAGUGCUGCUUCCAGUCCAUGGAAGGGUUCAGUAGACAGCGAAGAAAAAGUAGCAGAUGAUGUAGAGAAAUUUGAAACUGCUUUUUCUGGUGAUACUACUGCUGCAAAUGAGGAUGAUAGUGACUCUGAUGCAUUGCCCGAUACGGAUGACUAUGAUUCGGAAGCAAGUCCAGGGAGGCAGGGAGCCCUGAGAGUUGCAAGAAGAGCAAAUGGUUCAAGAAAUUUCUUGAGGGAUUGGAAUAUUUAGGUACAGAGGAGAUCAUUGACCCAGCUAGACAGUGGCACUGUCCUUCAUGUCAAGGAGUUGCAGGUGCCAUCAAACGGUACUUAGGCCUGCAGACCCUGAUGAAGCAUGCCAAAACCAAAGGGUCAAGAAGGUUGAGGCUCCACAGAGAGCUUGCACAACUGUUGGAAGAGAAGUUGCAUGUUAGUCAGGCAACUUCUGCUGCUCUAGGUGAUGAAGCAUGUGGCAAGUGGAAAGGUCCAAAAGAAGAAAAGAAACAUCAUGAGAUAGUUUGGCCUCCUAUGGUUGUUGUUGCAAAUACAACCCACAAAAAGGAUGAGAACAAUA